GGCUNACUGUGGUAAUUCUAGAGCUAAUACUUAUAUAAAAUGUCGUGACAAUGCAAAUUGAAGCGGCGGAUUUAUUAGAUCAAAAUCAACCUUAUGUGACUGUGUCAAAGCAGUUGCAUGGUUCUUUGAUGACUCUGGAUAACUUUAUCGACUGAUCGUACGACCUUUGUGUUGACGACAUAUCUCUUGAAAUGGCUGACCUAUCAACUUUCGAUGGUAAGAUCAUUGCUUACCAUGGUUGUAACGGGUHACGGGGAAUCAGGGUUCGAUUCCGGANAGGGAGCCUGAGAAACGGCUACCACAUCCACGGAAGGCAGCAGGCGCGCAAAUUACCCAAUACCGGCUCGGUGAGGUAGUGACAAUAAAUAACAAUAUGAGCCGUUUACGGUUUCAUAAUUGCAAUGAGAACAUUUUAAAUACUUUAUCAAGUAUCAAUUGGAGGGCAAGUUUUUACUUUGAAAAAAAUUAGAGUGCUUAAAGCAGCGUUACGCUUGUAUAUUGUUGCAUGGAAUAAUAGAAUAGGACUUCGGUUCUAUUUUGUUGGUUUUCGGAACUGAAGUAAUGAUUAAAAGAGACUGCCGGGGGCAUAUGUAUGCUGGUGGGAGAGGUGAAAUUCAUGGAUCACCAGCAGACAAACUACUGCGAAAGCAUCUGCCAAGAAUGUUUUCAUUAAUCAAGAACGAAAGUCAGAGGAUCGAAGACGAUCAGAUACCGUCCUAGUUCUGACCAUAAACUAUGCCAACUGACAGUUAGCAAGGUAAUAAACAUAUCCUUGCUAGAAGUCGCCGGGAAACCAAAGUCUAUGGGNUCNGGGGGAAGUAUGGUUGCUNNACGCUGGUGGACGCGGAUUUGUCUGGUUAAUUCCGAUAACGAACGAGACUCUAACCUGCUAAAUAGUACAUUGGUGUUUAAUCGCCGAUGCUGACUUCUUAGAGGAAUAAAUAGCGUUUAGCUAAAUGAAAUUGAGCAAUAANWNGUCUGUGAUGCCCUUAGAUGUCCGGGGCCGCACGCGCGCUACAAUGGCAGUAUCAACGAGUUUUUUUCCUAGCUAGAAAUGGCCGGGUAACCUGUUGAAACACUGUCGUGUCNGGAAUUGUGGAUUGAAAUUUUUCCACAUGAACGAGGAAUUCCUAGUAAGCGCAAGUCACUNAKUGCGCUGAUUACGUCCC
rnacentral:rRNA from 1 species